CUUAAGUGGGGAAUAACGCAUCGAAAGGUGUGCUAAUACCGCAUAAUCUCUGAGGAGAAAAGCAGGGGAUCGCAAGACCUUGCGCUUUUGGAGCGGCCGAUGCCUGAUUAGCUUGUUGGUGAGGUAAAGGCUUACCAAGGCUUCGAUCAGUAGCUGGUCUGAGAGGACGGCCAGCCACACUGGGACUGAGACACGGCCCAGACUCCUACGGGAGGCAGCAGUGGGGAAUUUUGGACAAUGGGGGCAACCCUGAUCCAGCCAUGCCGCGUGAGUGAAGAAGGCCUUCGGGUUGUAAAGCUCUUUCAGCCGGAACGAAACGGUUACGGUUAAUACCCGUAACUACUGACGGUACCGGAAGAAGAAGCACCGGCUAACUACGUGCCAGCAGCCGCGGUAAUACGUAGGGUGCGAGCGUUAAUCGGAAUUACUGGGCGUAAAGCGUGCGCAGGUGGUUUUGUAAGUCAGAUGUGAAAUCCCCGGGCUUAACCUGGGAACUGCGUUUGAAACUACAAGGCUAG
rnacentral:rRNA from 1 species